CGCCCCCGGACUCCUCCCACAUCGAAAUCGUCAUCGAAGCCCCGCCCUCCCCGGGCGACCGCAGGCCGUCCCACUCCCCGUAGGAGGGGGUGAGA
rnacentral:SRP_RNA from 13 species